ensembl:snoRNA SNORD28 Small nucleolar RNA SNORD28
UUCAGAUGAUUUGAACUGAUAAGCUGAGGCUCUAUGAGGAAUGACAGUUAAGAGCAUAUUAAAGUUGUUAUGAAA